UACGUAGGGUGCGAGCGUUGUCCGGAAUUAUUGGGCGUAAAGAGCUCGUAGGCGGUUUGUCGCGUCUGCUGUGAAAACUCGGGGCUUAACCCCGGGCCUGCAGUGGGUACGGGCAGACUAGAGUGCGGUAGGGGAGACUGGAAUUCCUGGUGUAGCGGUGAAAUGCGCAGAUAUCAGGAGGAACACCGGUGGCGAAGGCGGGUCUCUGGGCCGUAACUGACGCUGAGGAGCGAAAGCGUGGGGAGCGAACGGG
rnacentral:rRNA from 1 species